rnacentral:snRNA from 1 species
UGUACAAAACUUGGUGUACACUU